AUGCUAUCAGGGAGUAUCGAUAGACGGGGAGGAAGAGGAUGUGCUAAAGGGACACAACAUCCCAGCAAAAGACCUCUUGAAGGUCUCGUUUUCCUUCCAUACGCACCACCCCAGUGGAAAUCUGCGCUCCGCAUGAAGAUUCAGCUUCUCUCGCUCUUUUACGAAGAAGCAAAUCCCAGGAAGUCCAGCAGAGCAUGUGAACAUCAAAGAAUCCAAGAGAGCCGGGCCAGCCAAAUCCCAGUACUGUGGAGGCUCAGUCGUGAGCUCAAGUCCGAGUCCUUGGAUGACUCCAAAGGCAGCGGCUGGCGUUUGACAGAUUUGGAUAUAUCAAACGUGGCACGAGGAAAUGAGACAAUGAGACAGCUGCAUCUGCAGGGCUGCAAAGCUCUGGUGGUGCUCAGGCUGAAGGGCACGUGGGGGAUCAGCGCACAGAGGGUUUAGCACCGCCUGCGCUUCGGGGCUGCCACAGCCACACCAGAGAGGGGACACACAGCUUUGAUGGGCUGCCAGAGGGGCAUUCUCCAUCCAGCAGACAUGGGAGCUGGCAUCUCACAUCAUCCUGGGGCCAGAGCAGGUUCUGACUGCUGGCCUGCUGCUGCCUAGCCCUACUGUUUGUUAUGUGGGACAAACAGAAGCCAGGAGUGUAAACCAAGAGUGUGGCGUAAGGACGAGACAUGAGUGGGAGCAAAUAUUCUUCAAAAGGCUCAUGUCAAAAGACAACACUAGAUUUAUUAACUUACUCCUUAAGUUUUCCUUCCAGAAUAAUAUUUGGUUAAAAAGGAUUGUCCUUUAAGUUACUGAAUGAAUGCAGCAUGGCAAUAUCAGUUUUGAAAAGGCUUUUGAAGAGCAGCCCACUACUUUUUCAGUUGUGCUGCCAUGGCUUUCUUGUUUAAUUUCUGCCACCAGGCUGCUCUUGAUCUGUUUGUUUUGGGUCAUUCGACCUCAUGCCAUAAUAAUUAGUAUUGCUUGCUAACAAAACACAUCAUUAGGAGGAAGUGGGAUCAAAAGGAUGAUAUGGAAUUAGCAGGCUGGAGAACAGCAUCAUCUUCCUUGCAGAGAUGAUAGCAGAGCCUGAUCACAUCCCCUGUAUUGACCACUGUGCCCACAGCUGAUUUCUCUGAUUAAAUUUUCACAGAAGACACCUCAGAGAGAGAGUCAGCAAUACCUGAAGUGGACCCCAGCUUCAGAUGGAGUUUUCUGAAUGUCUCUACCCUUAAUGCAACCCUGAGCACAUCCUUGUCCCAAUUUUUGGUGGACAGCAGAGUCACGGCUCGGAAGUCACGCAGAGGCAGGACUAAAAGUUCUGAAGUACAAAUAAUAACCAGUUAAAUUAUAUGACUGUUUGGCCCAGAAGCUGCUAAUUAAGACAAGGCUGUGCAGACUGUUUAGCAAAUUUAGGUAUGUGGGAAAUAAAUCAAAUGGAACAGGAUGAUUAAGGCUGAAG
rnacentral:lncRNA from 1 species